UGAAAGAAGAAAGGAAAAAGUACGAUUGUGCGACAGCCGAUGCUGGCACUAAAGUGCUCGCACAAUCAUUUUCCUUUUUCUUUCUUUAUGAAUCCAUCGUCUCUUCGAUCAAUUGCCAUCUUCUCCGGUCUCAUUAUCUUUCCUUUCAUAAAAAGAAAGAAGGAAAGAUGAGACCGAAGAUGGCAUGAUUGAUCGUAAGAGACUGAACGAAGUGAUUACUGGCCAGCCAUCUAAUCCUUUCCUUAAUGAAAAAGGAAAAGAAAGGAUUAGCACUGGCCAGUA
rnacentral:ribozyme from 11 species